rnacentral:tRNA from 2 species
GCCGAUAUAGCUCAGUGGUAGAGUAGCUGAUUCGUAAUCAGUUGGUCGUGGGUUCAAAUCCCACUAUCGGCU